UUGAACGCUGGCGGCAGGCCUAACACAUGCAAGUCGAGCGGGGGUAGCAAUACCCUAGCGGCGAACGGGUGAGGAAUACUUGGGAAUCUGCCUCGUAGUGGGGGAUAACGUUCCGAAAGGAACGCUAAUACCGCAUACGUCCUACGGGAGAAAGGGGGGGAUCUUCGGACCUCUCGCUAUGAGAUGAGCCCAAGUCGGAUUAGCUAGUUGGUGGGGUAAUGGCCCACCAAGGCUACGAUCCGUAGCUGGUCUGAGAGGAUGAUCAGCCACACUGGAACUGAGACACGGUCCAGACUCCUACGGGAGGCAGCAGUGGGGAAUAUUGGACAAUGGGGGAAACCCUGAUCCAGCCAUGCCGCGUGUGUGAAGAAGGCCUUAGGGUUGUAAAGCACUUUAAGCGAGGAGGAAGGGCUUCGGGUUAAUACCUUGGAGCAUUGACGUUACUCGCAGAAUAAGCACCGGCUAACUCUGU
rnacentral:rRNA from 1 species